AGCGAACGCUGGCGGCAGGCUUAACACAUGCAAGUCGAGCGGGCGUAGCAAUACGUCAGCGGCAGACGGGUGAGUAACGCGUGGGAACGUACCUUUUGGUUCGGAACAACACAGGGAAACUUGUGCUAAUACCGGAUAAGCCCUUACGGGGAAAGAUUUAUCGCCGAAAGAUCGGCCCGCGUCUGAUUAGCUAGUUGGUAGGGUAAUGGCCUACCAAGGCGACGAUCAGUAGCUGGUCUGAGAGGAUGAUCAGCCACAUUGGGACUGAGACACGGCCCAAACUCCUACGGGAGGCAGCAGUGGGGAAUAUUGGACAAUGGGGGCAACCCUGAUCCAGCCAUGCCGCGUGAGUGAUGAAGGCCCUGGGGUUGUAAAGCUCUUUUGUGCGGGAAGAUAAUGACGGUACCGCAAGAAUAAGCCCCGGCUAACUUCGUGC
rnacentral:rRNA from 2 species